GACGAACGCUGGCGGCGUGCCUAAUACAUGCAAGUAGAACGCUGAAGAGAGGAGCUUGCUCUUCUUGGAUGAGUUGCGAACGGGUGAGUAACGCGUAGGUAACCUGCCUUGUAGCGGGGGAUAGCUAUUGGAAACGAUAGCUAAUACCGCAUAACAAUGGAUGACACAUGUCAUUUAUUUGAAAGGGGCAAUUGCUCCACUACAAGAUGGACCUGCGUUGUAUUAGCUAGUAGGUGAGGUAAUGGCUCACCUAGGCGACGAUACAUAGCCGACCUGAGAGGGUGAUCGGCCACACUGGGACUGAGACACGGCCCAGACUCCUACGGGAGGCAGCAGUAGGGAAUCUUCGGCAAUGGGGGCAACCCUGACCGAGCAACGCCGCGUGAGUGAAGAAGGUUGUCGGAUCGUAAAGCUCUGUUGUAAGUCAAGAACGGGUGUGAGAGUGGAAAGUUCACACUGUGACGGUAGCUUACCAGAAAGGGACGGCUAACUACGUG
rnacentral:rRNA from 1 species